CCUACGGGGGGCUGCAGUGAGGAAUAUUGGUCAAUGGACGCAAGUCUGAACCAGCCAUGCCGCGUGAAGGAAGACGGCUCUAUGAGUUGUAAACUUCUUUUGUACGAGGAUAAACGUAUAUACGCGUGUCUGUCUGAAUGUAUCCUAUGAAUAAGGAUCGGCUAACUCCGUGCCAGCAGCCGCGGUAAUACGGAGGAUGCAAGCGUUAUCCGGAUUUAUUGGGUUUAAGGGGUGCGUAGGUGGUCGGUUAAGUUAGAGGUGAAAGUUCGUGGCUCAACUACGAAAUUGCCUGUGAAACUGGAAGACUUGAGAGUGUUUGAGGUAGGCGGAAUGUGUGGUGUAGCGGUGAAAUGCAUAGAGAUCACACAGAACUCCGAUUGCGAAGGCAGCUUACUAAGCCAUAACUGACAUUGAAGCACGAAAGCGUGGGGAGCAAACAGGAUUAGAUACCCGAGUAGUC
rnacentral:rRNA from 1 species